UUCUUCCUAUGAUAUAUUGUGAGCUCACCGCUCUGGCUACCAAUUGUGAGGGGGCACAACCAGGUGGUCCCACAGAGGCACCAGCUUCCAUGGGGAUCCCUGCACCGCCCUGGCAAAGGCAGCUGAGCAACUCAGACCCAUGGUGAGUGGGUGUGGAUGGAGGGAGGUGGGCAAGGGGUGACCCCAGUGCAGCCUGGUCUAGCAUUCCUCUUUGUGGGUGUCAGGGGGAUUGCCUGUCAAGGGUCGCAUCAGCCAGAUGGGCUCGCCCGUGGGCAGGUGGUGCAGCGUGGACCCACUUGGCUCUGGUGGCGGGGCAUUCUGGCAGUGUCGGGGGCUUGCCCACCCCGGACGUCAGCAACCCACGCUACGCCACUUCUCACUGCUCACAGCUUCUACUUCUCCUUGCUCCAACUCAGCCUUCCUGUCUCCAUACUCUCCCAAGACACUCAACACUGCCUUUCUAUCUAAACUCACAGACUCCUUUCUUUGGCUGUAGAUAUUUUCCUCAGAGUGGAUGUUACACACAGAUCAGAACCAGCUCUCUCUCACUCUCCAACUCUCUGAACAGCUCAUUUUAUUUUCCUUCCCAAAGCGCUGCUCCACCCAUCUCUGGCUUGGUGGCCAGUCAAAGAGACUCUUCAGCCCUCUGGUGGAAUUCCAAGUCACUACAUCAACAGAAUCAGGUCUAGCUCAGCUGCCCGUCACAACGUACAGUGGUACCUCUAGUUACGAACUUAAUUUGUUCCGGAGGUCCGUUCUUAACCUGAAGUACCACUUUAGCUAAUGGGGACUCCCGCAGCCACCGCGCCGCCAGUGCACAAUUUCUGUUCUCAUCCUGAAGCAAAGUUUUUAACCCAAGGUACUAUUUCUGGGUUAGCGGAGUCUGUAACCCAAGGUGUUUGUAACCCAAGGUGUUUGUAACCCAAGGUGUUUGUAACCUGAGGUACCACUGUACUUCACUACUAAAAAAAGGACUUUGCUCUUCUCUCUAAGCAUGUUAAGAGUGUGCAAAGAAAACAUAACACAUUAUUUGCAUAAUUCAUCCUGUACCUGCUUGAGUUAGAGUGUAAGAAAUCUCAAACAAAGGCGCAUGACUGCAUCUGCUGCCUGGAUCUUUCCAGAGCCUUCCUUCCUUUUCUUCCUAUUGACAAUAUUGAGGGUGAAUUGGGUGUUGGUCAAGAGACAGCCUGUAAAUCUACUUUAAAAUUGGUGAGAUGGCAAUCUGCUACUGAACGCCACUGAAAUAUUAUGGGAGAGAGUCCUCCAAAGGACUUUGGGAAUUGCGAUCUGCAAGACCACAUUAUUUUCUAUCUCAAAAUAAUCGCUGCAGGAUAUAACUUCGCUGAAAAUCUUGUCAAAGUGGGCAUCCGUUGCUUUGCCAUUCAGUUCAUUGCAACAAGGCCAGGUUUUGCUUGGGUCAGCAUCCUCUCAGGUUCCUGGCAGAUGCAAGGGGUAUAAUUUUAGCUGCUUGAACCAGAUAUGCUCGACAUAAACAGCUGUGUGCUGUUAUCAGUCUCUUUUGGGGUUUUCCUUCUUCUUCCUCUGUUCUGCAGAAUACAGCAGCCAAUUUUGAAGGUAAAUGCUCCAGCACAGCUGCUGGCCUGUUGGUUACUUGUAUUUGAUCUGUGAAAUUGCUAUGAGGUUUUUUUUCUUUACUUGCCUCAGACAUGAGCAUUACCUCUUUGGGAAGCUGUGAUAUUCACCCAAAAGAGAGCCGGCUGCUGUUUGUUUGGAUUCAUGCAGUGAUUGAACAGUGACAGGACAUUUGGACAAUUCAGGAUUAAUAGUAGAUGAGAUAAGUUCUGGUAACCACAGAGGAGAUGAAGGGAUUUUAAACAUGCCACUUACUAUUCAGUCACAUCAGUGGUUAGGUUUGCUGAAAUGAUAUCUUAACAAAAAUGCUUUUGUGCAAGUUGCAUAUAUCUUGCUUUUUUGUACAUAUUAAGGGUGGAAAGUGAUGAUUGAGAAAAAAAUGGUUUCUGAGAGCUCCUUCCUUUCAAUUUCUCACAUCUGGUUCAUGGACCUAGUCUUUCCCUCCCUUCAAUACGGGGAUGAAAAUACAGCCAUAACGUUGUUAAGACGUUUCUGUGAUUUGAACUCCCAGAAUGUGCUAUAGAAACAUCAUUAUUAUUCCUUUUGUCACAUAAAUGUUUGAGAUUUCCUACUAGUGUGGCUUAGAAUUUUGACUGCAGACCAACAGUGGGAUCACAAGGAACUAAGCCAUAGUUGACUGCCUGGUAUUACAUUAUGAAACACUCUGCUUGCUUUGCAUCUCUUCUUCAUAGCACCUGAAGAUCUAGCUAAACAACCGACCACCCCCAUAUCUCUAUGACAACAAUUGUCUAGUUCUGACAUAUUUAUUUCUUACCAAUACAACCAAUCCAGCUUGGAAAUAAUUACAGCUGUAAUGAUUAGUCAGUUUAUCAAUGAGAAUAAUAAAUAAAAACCACCUUGACUAAAAAAUGGGCCAAUUAAUUGAGCAGCAUUUUUUUAAAAUAAAAAAAUACAAGUAUUCAUAAAUACUGCAGAUGGCAGGCACUGCCUUAAGAGACAUUUUAUUUCUUUGUCCCACAUGAGGAAUGCCCCCUCUUCUAAGAUGAGGCUUUCUAUGGUAGUUGUGUGUGCCAUCUAAAAACAAAUGUUUGAAUCUAGACUUAGAUUUCAGUGGGCCCACUCUAAGCAUGACUACAGCUCUCCCCCCCAAACAAACAACUAUAUUUCUUGGUUCAGAAAUACUGGAUUUAUCCAUAUGCAGAUAUAAUCAAUAGUUUAAUUAAUUUUUAAAAACCCACAAUUAAUUAAUUUAAAUUUUAUUAACCAAGUCCCAGCCUUAUUUCUAAUAUGUUGCUGUAUGCAAAAGGCAGGAGUGAAUUAAGGUGCACAGGAGUGACUUGAGUGCAGGGUGCCAAAAUGCAGUGUAUCUUCAUUUAGCUGGUGAUGGGGCAAGGUCUCAUAAUGAGGAGCCAUGCCCAAGACCCGAGUGAUAAGUUCUGUGUUGCACUGUUGGGGGGAAAUGUAAAGAAACGCUGAACUGCUCACUCACUGCUUUCCUGAAUUUCCCUACUAGCCGCUUGUUGAUUAUAUGCUUUAUUGAGAGCGUUGUGUGAGCACACCUUAAAAAUACAGCCCUGGAAACACGGGGAGUGUACAUCAAACAUAAGUGUGAACAUGCCUUAUGACAACGUUCUACCCAUCCUUUUGGGCAUCACCGUAGAUCUUCUAUUCUAAUCUUUUUCUCUCCUUGUUUUUAUUUGUCUUUGGACAUUCUGAAGUAAAAUUCUGAAGUAUAGCAAGGCGUAUUUCAGUUACAAAGUUAAGCAUAAUACAGAAAGCUGUUCAAGAAAUGCUCUUGUGAGAAAAUGGCCAUCUGUUCUCGUCUAUUACUACAUAAUGUGGCUUAAGUACUUCCGUCUCUUAGCAGCAAAGGUGUAAUAACGGCACAUUGAUUGAUGUCAAGUAUUAGCUCUGAGGAAAUUCUUUUCCACACAGAUGUACUUUAGCUUGUUUACACCAUGGAAUUCUUUUACCGUUUCCCAUGUUUUGCUUGUAUCUCUGAGAUAUUUCUGAAGCAGGGAAUUUACAGCUCUGCACUUCUGUGGAGGUUCCUUUAUGUCGCAGAAGUAAUUCAAAAAGACGAUGCCUUAAAUAUAAACUUUACUAUUAUUUCUAUUAUUAUUUUGCUGCCUCCCUUAAGCCAGUCAGCCAUGAUACCUUACACUUGCCAUGGAAUAAGCUGCUCCCUCAGUAGCUCUCUGUGCUCAUUAAAAUUCAAUGUUCGCAUUUGAAAGUCUGCCUGGUUUUUCCAUGGGGCUUCACUUGACUCUUCCUUAAGCACAUGCUGGUUUUAAAACUUCAAAUGCUUUGGUGCAUAUUCAGUGAACUAGCUCCUGCCUUCUGAGCGCUCAACAAUUCCCUGUCUGGAGCAAGAAGGACUGCUUUAUUCUGAGGGGGCCCAAAGUUCUUUUGGCUUUAGAGCUCUGAUCAUGAACAAGGGGAUGGGGCAGAGGAAAAGCCUGUUCUUUCCUCUGGUAAUUUUGGCUACAUCUACAAAAUUUGGAAAUGCUCAUAGUUAAUAGGAUGCAUGCAUUUUUAUUCUGGGCAUAUGUGCACCACUGCUUUUUAAAAAGUGUUAAUAGUUUUUUGAGCUCCUUAGGGAAUGAUGGGAACUGUGAGGGCAAGCAGGCAAGGGAUCUCUCUUAAGUUUUAUCUAACACAAUGGUGUUCAACUGGUGGGUCAUUACCUGAUACAAGGUGGAUCACAACAGGAGCACUAUCGUCAUGCAAAUACUGUAUAUGACAAAAGAUUAAUAAACCCAAAUGCAAGUUUGGAGUAAAAGAGGGUCCUGGGUGUGAAAAGUUUGAAGAUACCUCGUCUAAUAGUCCUAGUUUUGAGAUGGUUGGCCAUCUACACUUGGAGAUGGAUAAGGGAAUGAGAUUCUCUACCAGAUAUUUCAGCAGCGUGUGAUACCAUCAAUCAUUGUGUCCACCUGGAAUGCCCUUGUAGGUUGGGCCUGAGGUUUUGCAACUCUUUCUUGACCUCUUAGUCUUUGGUGUCCCCAAGCUGUUCUCUUUAACAGGAGAUCACUGAGGUGGGGCUCAUUGGGACAUUUGGUGUUUGCUAUUAUCAGGAUAGAAAUGAGACACUAUUCUGAAGCUGGAAUUUGUAAAGGACUAGAUUUGAAUGGAGAAACUGAAGCAACGUAUGCAGAGCAUUAAAAUAAAUAAAUAGAAUAAAUGGAAACCAAAUUCUUGCCUUUUCUACAUAGUCCACACACAAUCUAGAUUUAUCACAUAUUUUGCCCUUCAAAAGUGCUUCUUGAGAAACUGGUUUCAUUCCAAAAACAGUUCAUUGCAGUUUGAUUCUGCAUUGCCCCAUAGUGUAUCCAUUUGGAAACGGAAGUAGACUUUGUGGGAAUGAUGGUGUGGGAAAGUGUUUAUCAAGAUCACAGUUACCACUUCUUGACCUGGGACAUGUGCAGGGAGGAAAAGGGGAAGGUUUUCAAAUGCAUAUCAAGUAACCAUGCCCUAUCUCUCCACUCCCCCCAGAAUGUUUGUCUUUCUCAUCUAAUCCAUGGAAGAAUUUGAUUCCUGGAAGAGAACAGACUGGAUGUGGGCUAUCAAAAUGAAGCUUGAUCUGCACAACACAGGAGGAAGACUCUGGAAUAGAGUGGUUUGGAGGGGAUGUAGCACUUUUGAAAAAUCCAGAGAGCGCUGAUGCAUCUGGAUGACCAGGUGAUGUUGGUGGCCAGGAGCGACUUUCUUCAGCCUGGGGUGGUGCUCCAGCUGUGCCCACUCCUGACAAAGUCAGACCUGCCUAAGGUCACACCUGCAUUAAUUAAAUCAAGAUUUGAU
rnacentral:lncRNA from 1 species